rnacentral:lncRNA from 10 species
AGGGGUUUUGUCUGCAGCUCGUCCUGCUACAAUAUUACUGUAUAUAUGUAAAAUAUGCUAUAUUACUAUAUUUUCUCAUUUAUAAAGUGGGAGUAAAAAUAACAGCUACCUCAUUGCAUUUUUGUGAGGAUUAAAUUAGUUAACACAUGUAUAAUAGUUAUGGGACAUAGUGACCACUUAAGAAAUGUUAGCUAGUAUUAUUGUUGUUGUUACCAGGCACUGUUCUGGCUAACAUUCUAUUAGACCAAGUUAAAUAUUAGUUCAUUUAGUUAAUCUGCCCAGAAAAGUAUUAAUAGAAGCAAGUUGCCCAUAUAACCUGUCCCCUUGACAACAAAAUUUGCCUUCUGAAAGCCAUUAAUGGAUUCUCAAGGUACAAGAAUUGCCUAUGAAUUGUUUACUUUUUAGAAUAUGAUUUCCCCUUGAGGCAGAAUAUAUAUUUAACAGGUCCUAAAUGUAUACCAGAAAGAACUGAAUCGCCAGCUUCACUAACAGGUUUCUCUAAAAAGAAAAUCAGACAGCAAUUUUACCUUCUGUUCAGGCCAGAUGAUGUUCCUAAUCCUGCAAGGUCUGGGGUACUUUCAUCUGAUAAGAGCCCAUGAGCUUCUGAGAGCUUCAAAUGACUACUACUUAGGUUAAAAAUAAGCACCGAGAAACAAAAACUGAGAAACAAAAGCAGAAGUAUUUCUAAAAUUGCUCUCUUCGCACUGUCUCGCUGCGGGUACUUUCCUGUCUCUCAGAUCACUGACCUUCAGUCCAGCAAUUUCCAGUGUCCUGCAGGCUGCUGAUCCCAAGAUGCUCAGCCACACAAAGGAACAUUCAACUGGUAAGAGAAGAAUGCCUCGAGUGAGCAUGCGUACAACUCCAGUAAACAUACCGUGCAUGCAUCACUCCUAAGUGCUGGCAGCCACUGCGGAUGCGGAGAGCCCACCCAAGGGAAGAAUCAGGAGACAAGGGACACAAGCUCCUGGAAAUAUGACAACAUAUAAAAUCCCAAGUCAAUGGGGAAUCCAUGCACUUGAUCUCUCCAGUCACCCCCUUGGCCCUCUUCCAAGUUCACUUCCUUUCAUUCCUGCUGUAAAGCUUUUGAAUAAACUUUCAUUCCUCUAAAACUUGCCUUGGUCUCUGUGUCAAAUAUUUUCUUCUGAAGAGGGAAGAAUUGAGGUUGCUGCAGACCUGUAUGGACUCACCACUGCUAACACCUUUUUCAAGGAAUAUCUACUAGAAUCUAGGUGUUGGAAAUGCUGAAAUAGUCUAAACUAACCAAUUAUUUCCACCUUAAAAUGACUGUAGGCUCAUUCACCUGGCCUGGCAAAGUCAGCACUUACUUAAAAGCAGAUGGGAGAGAAUGUUGACCCUAUACAUACCCACAGUCCCUGAUCAACAUACAUUUUCAUGAAGAGGUAUAUCUUGGAUCAAGUCAAAAAGAAACUAUCCCCGGAUCCAUCUGAGGUGUGUCCCAUACUCAGGGAACACACCAAAAAAUUCAGGAAUGGCUCACAGGGAAGCAUGAUUUCAGAAGAUCGGGAGCAUAAGAAAAAGGAAGAUGAUGACACUAUAAGAGAAAUCCUAUCAACAAAAGGAAUAUAAUUCUCCUCCUGUUUUUUUUAAGUCAAGGAGAAGAAUGCUGGUGCAUUACAAUCUAAUUGGAACAUGUCCAAAGUGAUGGGAGAAAUCCACUGACACCAGAUUAAAGGAGUCCUGAGCAGAGAGGAAGCUGGAUGGUGGCAGGGUCCUCGAAAAACUAUCUCCAAAGACUCCAAUCUCUAGAGCAUUAUCUUAGUUCUAUGACUGGAAAUUUUUUCCAGAAUCCUCAAUAUCUAUCUGUAAUGUAAGGCUCCUUUUUGCUAGCACCAGAAGCUUACAUAAAAUUAGGCACUUGGGGAAGCAUCUUGACCCCCUCAUCAGGCCACCCAACCAUAACUGCCCCAAUGGCCAACAGGUGGGGAUUAUGGGAACUAUAAUUCAAGAUAAGAUUUGGGUGGGGACACAGUCGAACCAUAUCAAUGGAGGAAUACAUGGAUAUACAUGCAGAAAUCUGGGUGGCUUUAAUUCCUUCCAUGAGGUCUUACAAUCCUACCAUCACUAUAAACUAGCCAAAAUUAAAAUAUAUCUGGGCAGACAGGAGACCCAGAUGGGUAGGAACUAAAUAUACAAACAUUUCUCUCAGUAGAGAGAAAAACCAAGAAAAGGGAAGAAAUAAGAUUCAAAAUGAUCCCAAGAGGCACAUCCUGGGGAAAACCCAACAAGAUAAAUAUAGUAAGUCCUCAAAAGAUGCUAGUUACUAGUAUUAUCAUUAAUGUUAAAUAGUAAUAUUAACUGUAAAUCCCUGCAUUUAUAUUGAAGAUAGCAAUUACAUAAGAAAAGAUAUUAGAGAACUGGCUUAGCCAAAAUCCACAGGAGAAAAUAAAAUUUGCGUUUUGGCUAAUCACAAGCCCAACACGUGUCAGCACUGCAAUGUAGCUGAUAAGUAACUAACACCACUGGGCAGCCCUCACCCAGAGCAAAGGAGCUAACAGGCUCACAAAACUCUCCCAGCCAGGCCAUAUCUGAUGUGUAGGUUUGAUUUAGGCACAAAAGAUAUAGACAAUCGGAAUUGCAUCUAGCAAGAAGUGACUAUCACAGCUGUAAGUCUGGAAUCCAAAUUAAACACAAAAUAGUUGAUAGAACAGGUGGCAACCAUGGAAGUGAUGGUUUAAGGUACUCUUCGAUAUUUGAAGAGCUGCCAAUAAAGAAUGGCACUAGUUGUUUUGUGUCACCAACGGGUGAAAUUUACAGGGGAGGCUAAGUUAGGCUCCAUACAUAAAAUGAUUUUCCAAUACUUAAAAUUAUCCAAGAAUUGAUCCCACGGGCUUGAAAAGUUUUAAGCUUUCUUUUUGAAAGUGCCUGGGAGCCAGAAGAUUAUCAACCAACAAGAGCAAUCUAAGGAUUCCUCUGGUGGGUGAAGGGAUGCACUCUGAAGUUUCAAGGCCCCUUUCAGCAUCAAGAAUCUGCAAUUCUAUGGUUCUGACUAUAGCUGAGCUUCAUCAGAUUAGUAGACAGAGCCCAGUGCUACCCUCUCCUCCCACUCAUUUUUGCAUGGUGAAUGGUAAAUAUUCUUGGGGCGAGGCGCAGUGGCUCACGCCUGUAAUCCCAGCACUUUGGGAGGCCGAGGCAGGCGAAUCACAA